GUUCAGAGCCCCUGCUCGAUGCCAGUGCCUAGAAUGGCCACUGGGUAUGCAAUGAUGAAUCAGGGCUGAAGUGAGGAUUAAAGGAGAUGAGACGUCCACCGUGCCUUGCAGUUCAUCAGCUCUUCCCAGAUGCUCACCACCAUCAGCUACCAGAUCCACACCCAUCUUCUGAGGCUGCCCCUCUGAAGCCCAGCUCAGCCCUGACCUGAGCCGCCUUCCUUCCUGGCCUGGCCUGCUUCACCCACUCAUCCUUCAUCCUGCCCCCAUGACCUGAUGGAGCAUGUGUCAAGUUCUUGAUGACCUCUAGAGUCUGCAGCAUCAGGCAGAUGCCAGAUUUUCCUGCCAGAACACCCUCCGAGGACAGAGACAGCUUGCAAAAGACCAAGAUAAAGGAGUUGGUCCUCAGACAGACGAUAAGGAGUCACAGGGUUGUUCGUGUUGAUCCUCAGCUCCUGUGGUCUGGGCUGAUCUCUGGCGGUGUUCUGGGGAGCCCGCGGGGACUGGCUGCCACCCCAGGCAGCCUGGCCCUGGGUACCUCCCCUCGCACUUGCCGCUGGAACUUGGAAGCUCACCCUGCCAGGACUUGGAAGCUCACUCCAGCUGCGGCAUCCUGAUCCUCUGGCUCUCUUCAUCCUCCCAAGGAGAGCCCCGCUCUCCCUUUCACCCCCACACACAGCUUCCCACGUCACCCUCCCAGACCCCUGGCUCCUGGGAGAGGCCAAGGAACCCCCAUCCCACCCUGGGCCUCAGGCCAAGGAGUCGGAGACAUGAGAUAGAGAAAGAAAAAGGGAGAGAGACAGAGAGAUGGGGUGCGGGUGGAGCUGGGGGGCUGGCUGGAAGAGAGGUGGGUCCUCAAGGAAGAUAUAAGCAGAGACGCAGAGAUGCAGGAAGGAAAAGAGAGAACUGGAAAGACAGAAAUACC